AGUGAACGCUGGCGGUAGGCCUAACACAUGCAAGUCGAACGGCAGCACAGUAAGAGCUUGCUCUUACGGGUGGCGAGUGGCGGACGGGUGAGGAAUACAUCGGAAUCUACUUUUUCGUGGGGGAUAACGUAGGGAAACUUACGCUAAUACCGCAUACGACCUACGGGUGAAAGCAGGGGAUCUUCGGACCUUGCGGGAUUGAAUGCGCCGAUGUCGGAUUAGCUAGUUGGCGGGGUAAAGGCCCACCAAGGCGACGAUCCGUAGCUGGUAUGAGAGGAUGAUCAGCCACACUGGAACGAAGACACGGUCCAGACUCCUACGGGAGGCAGCAGUGUGGAAUAUUGAACAAUGGGCGCAAGCCUGAUCCAGCCAUACCGCGUGGGUGAAGAAGGCAUUCGGGUUGUAAAGCCCUUUUGUUGGGAAAGAAAAGCAGCAGGUUAAUACCCCGCUGUUCUGACGGUACCCAAAGAAUAAGCACCGGCUAACUUCGUG
rnacentral:rRNA from 1 species